CACUGUUCUCUGCAUUAUUCUCAGAUAGUUACGAUAGAAGAACUUAUAUCACAGGUUCCACCACAUGACACGACAGUUCUUGAGAAAGCUAUUGAGCAACAUAUGUGUUUUGAAAGACCAAACGUCAA